UACGAAGGGUGCAAGCGUUAAUCGGAAUUACUGGGCGUAAAGGGUGCGUAGGCGGUUCGUUAAGUCUGUUGUGAAAGCCCUGGGCUCAACCUGGGAAUUGCAGUGGAUACUGGGCGACUAGAGUGUGGUAGAGGGUAGUGGAAUUCCUGGUGUAGCAGUGAAAUGCGUAGAGAUCAGGAGGAACAUCCAUGGCGAAGGCAGCUACCUGGACCAACACUGACACUGAGGCACGAAAGCGUGGGGAGCAAACAGG
rnacentral:rRNA from 1 species